ACGGAAGGCAGCAGUGAGGAAUAUUGGUCAAUGGGCGGAAGCCUGAACCAGCCAAGUCGCGUGAAGGAUGAAGGUAUUAUGUAUUGUAAACUUCUUUAGCAGCAGAGUAAUAAGGGGGUCGAGACCUCCGAUGCAAGUAUGCUGAGAAUAAGGAUCGGCUAACUCCGUGCCGGCAGCCGCGGUAAUACGGAGGAUACGAGCGUUAUCCGGAUUUAUUGGGUUUAAAGGGUGCGCAGGCGGCCCGUUAAGUCAGCGGUGAAAUGUCGGGGCUCAACCCGGGCACUGCCGUUGAAACUGGGGGGCUUGAGUACGGAUGAGGUCGGCGGAAUGUGACGUGUAGCGGUGAAAUGCAUAGAUAUGUCACAGAACACCGAUUGCGAAGGCAGCCGGCCAAUCCGCAACUGACGCUCAUGCACGAAAGUGCGGGGAUCGAACAGGAUUAGAUACCCUGGUA
rnacentral:rRNA from 1 species